AGGCCUGUAGCUCAGCGGAUAGAGCAGCCGCCUACUAAGCGGAAGGUCGCCGGUUCGAAUCCGGCCAGGAUUC
rnacentral:tRNA from 1 species